CCACAACAGAGACAGUGUGGUAGAUGGAUUCUUCAGAGCCAUUCCUCCAUCCACCUAUCUAGCUAUUGGUGAAGCUGGGCAGUACACCACCCAAGAGCAAGCUUGCAUUUUACCCACAGUGCGUGCUCCUAAAUUGUGAUCCUGUGAGGUCGCCAACGUCACUGUGUUGGCUGGAAAAGCAGUAAUCCUGAUUACCAUGAAUGGACAUUAUGAGUUGCACAAACCUGUGUAUUUGUGCAAUGUCUGCAUGCAAAAGUGGACCCCAGAAGUCAGGGACCUGAUCAAAAGUGGUUAUUGGCCAGCUACAACACUUUCACAGACCCUAUACUCUCUUGACCUCCUAAGUUCAUUCCAGGAGCUGAAGGGGAUCUCUCCAGGCUUGUCCAGGCAGGCCUUCACAAAAUUGCUUGAACAUCGCACACAGCGUGCU